UAAGUACUCCCUCCGUCCCAAAAUUCUUGUCUUAAAUUUGUCUAGAUACGGAUGUAUGUACUCCCUCCCUCCCAAAAUCGUAUCUAGACAAACUUAAGACAAGAAUUUUGGGAGGGAGGGAGUACUAU
rfam:Triticum aestivum genome assembly, contig: Triticum_aestivum_CS42_TGACv1_scaffold_433036_5DL